UACGUAGGGUGCGAGCGUUAAUCGGAAUUACUGGGCGUAAAGCGUGCGCAGGCGGUUUUGUAAGUCCGAUGUGAAAUCCCCGGGCUUAACCUGGGAACUGCGUUUGAAACUACAAGGCUAGAGUGUGGCAGAGGGGGGUGGAAUUCCACGUGUAGCAGUGAAAUGCGUAGAGAUGUGGAGGAACACCGAUGGCGAAGGCAGCCCCCUGGGUUAACACUGACGCUCAGGCACGAAAGCGUGGGGAGCAAACAGG
rnacentral:rRNA from 1 species